rnacentral:rRNA from 1 species
CCUUCGGGAGUAAGUACAGCGGCGAAAGGGUGAGUAAAGUAUAGGGAAGGUACCCUCCGGACCGGGAUAAUUCUUGGAAACGAGUUGUAAUACCGGAUGGUUCUUUGGUGUCGCAUGGCACUACUGAUAAACGGAUUCUGCCGGAGGAGCCCCCUAUAUCCUAUUAGCUUGUUGGUGUGGUAAUGGCACACCAAGGCAUUGAUGGGUAGCCGGACUGAGAGGUUGGCCGGUCACACUGGGACUGAGACACUGCCCAGACUCCUACGGGAGGCUGCAGUCGAGAAUCUUCCGCAAUGGGCGAAAGCCUGACGGGGCGACGCCGCGUGAACGAAGAAGGCCUUCGGGUUGUAAAGUUCUGUCAGUAGAGAAAUAGCCGGUGCUUUGACGUUAUCUUCAGAGGAAGCCCUGGCUAACUCCGUGCCAGCAGCCGCGGUAAUACGGAGAGGGCAAGCGUUGUUCGGAAUCACUGGGCAUAAAGCGCACGUAGGCGGAUUGGAUAGUCGGUUGUGAAAGCCCGGGGCUCAACCCCGGAACUGCUUCCGAAACUUCCAGUCUAGAGGGUGAGAGGGGAGAGUGGAACUUCCUGGUGGAGCGGUGAAAUGCGUAGAGAUCAGAAGGAACACCGGUGGCGAAAGCGACUCUCUGGCUCGUUUCUGACGCUGAGGUGCGAAAGCUAGGGUAGCGAACGGGAUUAGAUACCCCGGUAGUCCUAGCCGUAAACGAUGAGCACUAGGUAGGGGAAGUUCUGACGCUUUCCCUGCUGGAGCUAAUGUAUUAAGUGCUCCGCCUGGGGAGUAUGGUCGCAAGGCUAAAACUCAAAGGAAUUGACGGGGGCUCACACAAGCGGUGGAGCAUGUGGUUUAAUUCGAAGCAACGCGCAGAACCUUACCAGGGUUUGACAUGCAUGGAUUAGCUCUGUGAAAGCAGAGUGACGCGGGUAACCGUGGAACUUGCACAGGUGCUGCAUGGCUGUCGUCAGCUCGUGUCGUGAGAUGUCGGGUUAAGUCCCUUAACGAGCGAAACCCUUACUUCUAGUUGCCAGCAGGUAAUGCUGGGCACUCUAGCGGGACUGCCGUGGUUAACACGGAGGAAGGCGGGGAUGACGUCAAGUCCUCAUGGCCCUUAUACCUGGGGCUACACACGUGCUACAAUGGCAAGUACAAAGGGCAGCAAUACGGUAACGUGGAGCAAAUCCCAUAAAGCUUGUCUCAGUACGGAUUGGGGGCUGCAAUUUGCCCCCAUGAAGUUGGAAUCGCUAGUAAUCGUGGAUCAGCAAUGCCACGGUGAAUAUGUUCCUGAGCCUUGUACACACCGCCCGUCAAGCCACGGGAGCUGGUAGUGCCCGAAGUCGCUGACCCAACCUUAGGGAGGGAGGCGCCGACGGUAAGACCGGUGACUGGGACUAAGUCGUAACA